UCGUAACAAGGUUUCCGUAGGUGAACACUGCGGAAGGAUCAUUA
rnacentral:rRNA from 1 species